UACAGAGGUCUCAAGCGUUGUUCGGAUUCAUUGGGCGUAAAGGGUGUGUAGGUGGCGCCGUAAGUCGGGUGUGAAAUUUCGGAGCUUAACUCCGAAACUGCAUUCGAUACUGCGGUGCUUGAGGACUGGAGAGGAGACUGGAAUUCAUGGUGUAGCAGUGAAAUGCGCAGAUAUCGGGAGGAACACCGAUGGCGAAGGCAGCACUCUGGGCCGGUACUGACGCUGAGGAGCGAAAGCGUGGGGAGCGAACAGG
rnacentral:rRNA from 1 species